UAAUACGGGGGGAGCAAGCGUUGUUCGGAUUUACUGGGCGUAGAGAGCGCGCAGGCGGCUGGUCAAGUCCGAUGUGAAAUCUCCCGGCUCAACUGGGAAACUGCAUCGGAAACUGAUCGGCUUGAAGGUGGGAGAGGGUAGUGGAAUUCCCGGUGUAGUGGUGAAAUGCGUAGAUAUCGGGAGGAACACCAGUGGCGAAGGCGACUACCUGGCCCAUUCUUGACGCUGAGGCGCGAAAGCUAGGGGAGCGAACGG
rnacentral:rRNA from 1 species